ACAUUAACAGAGUAAAUGGACCUGUCCGCAGAAUCCACACCAACCAGCACCAUGCCUAUGACAAUGGGGUACUGGGACAUCCACGGGCUGGCCCAUGCCAUCUACCUGCUCCUGGAAUAUACAAACUCAAGCUACAAGGAAAAGAAGUACAGGAUGGGGGAUGCUCCUGACUAUGACAGAAGCCAGUGGCUGAAUGAAAAAUUCAGGCUGGGCCUAGACUUUCCCAAUCUGCCCUACUUGAUUGAUGGCGCUCACAAGAUCACCCAGAGCAACACCAUCCUGCACUGCAUUGCCUGCAGGCACAACCUGUGUGGGGAGACAGAAGAGGAGGAGAUUUGGGAAGACAUUUUGGAGAACCAGCUUAUAUACAACUGCAUAAAGCUGGCCAGACCUGCUACAACCCAGAUUUUGAGAAACUGAAGCCAGAAUACCUGGAGGUACUCCCUGCAAUGCUGAAGCUCUACUCACAGUUUCUGGGGAAGCAGCCAUGGUUUCUUGGGGGCAAGAUCACCUUUGUGGAUUUCAUUGUUUAUGAUGUCCUUGAGGGAAACCAAGUAUUUGAGCCGAAGUGCUUGGAUGCCUUCCCAAACCUGAAGGACUUCAUCUCCCGAUUUGAGGGCUUGGAAAAGAUCUCUACCUAUAUGAAGUCCAGCCACUUCCUCCCAAGACCUGUGUUCACAUAGAUGGCUGUCAGGGGCAACAAGUAGUGCCUUGUAGGCCAGGAGGUGGGAGUAAGUUGCCCAUAUUCAGCCCAUUGCCAAGGCUGUGGAGAGCAGCUCGACUCUGCAACCCAGCACCUGCCUUCUCGUUCCUUUCUCCUGUUUAUUCCCUUCUUUACCCCCAAGACUUUAUUGAAUAAAGUCUUCCCCUAAACCCCUGUCCCAUCCAAACCCUUUAAAGCCUCAGUUACCCACUUUCCUUCAUGAAUGUCCCCCUCCCAACAUUAUCCUUCCCUGCACUAAAGGCAGCCUGUCCUUCCUUCCUGUUAGUGGUUGUGUCUGCUUUGAGGGGCUUCACUGGCCCCUUGCCUGUGGAGCUCAGCCCUGAGGUCCCAGCACUGCAUGAAAAAGCAGCAUUGACUGGUUCACAGGCCCUGUUCCUGCAGCAUGAUCCCUGCCUUAGGCCUACCUGAUCCAAGUAAAGCCUAAACCA